rnacentral:rRNA from 1 species
CAGCCGCCGCGGGAAUACGUAGGGUGCAAGCGUUAAUCGGAAUUACUGGGCGUAAAGCGUGCGCAGGCGGUGUUGUAAGACUGAUGUGAAAUCCCCGGGCUCAACCUGGGAACUGCAUUGGUGACUGCAACGCUGGAGUGCGGCAGAGGGGGAUGGAAUUCCGCGUGUAGCAGUGAAAUGCGUAGAUAUGCGGAGGAACACCGAUGGCGAAGGCGACUACCUGGACUGAUACUGACACUGAGGUGCGAAAGCGUGGGGAGCAAACAGGAUUAGAUACCCCAGUAGUCCCUGUCUCUUAUCC